CAGAUAGAGGUGCGGUCAAAAUCAGUAGCAUUUUUGAGAUGUAUGACAUCACGGCUUCCCAGGCUUUUUCUUAAAUGUGAAAGGUGCGACUGCCGAAGCACAGGCUUGGGAAACCUGACUGCUGACUGUAGUUUUAACAGAACUCCAGUUGUCAUCAUUACUUAUGAUGGAGUGCUAUCGG
rnacentral:ncRNA from 1 species